CUCCACGGCGGGGAAUUGAAUCCCGGUCGCCCGUGUGACAGAGAAUACUGACCACUAUACUACCGAGGA